rnacentral:rRNA from 1 species
UACGAAGGGGGCUAGCGUUGCUCGGAAUCACUGGGCGUAAAGGGUGCGUAGGCGGGUCUUUAAGUCAGGGGUGAAAUCCCGGGGCUCAACCCCGGAACUGCCUUUGAUACUGGCAUUCUCGAGUCCGGAAGAGGUGAGUGGAAUUCCGAGUGUAGAGGUGAAAUUCGUAGAUAUUCGGAGGAACACCAGUGGCGAAGGCGGCUCACUGGUCCGGUACUGACGCUGAGGUGCGAAAGCGUGGGGAGCAAACAGG